rnacentral:rRNA from 1 species
CCCAGACUCCUACGGGAGGCAGCAGUGGGGGAUAUUGGACAAUGGGGGGAACCCUGAUCCAGCGACGCCGCGUGAGUGAAGAAGUAUCUCGUUAUGUAAAGCUCUAUCAGCAGGGAAGAAAAUGACGGUACCUGAGUAAGAAGCCCCGGCUAACUACGUGCCAGCAGCCGCGGUAAUACGUAGGGGGCAAGCGUUAUCCGGAUUUACUGGGUGUAAAGGGAGCGUAGACGGCAGUGCAAGUCUGGAGUGAAAGGCGGGGGCUCAACCCCCGGACUGCUCUGGAAACUGUACGGCUGGAGUGCAGGAGAGGUAAGUGGAAUUCCUAGUGUAGCGGUGAAAUGCGUAGAUAUUAGGAGGAACACCAGUGGCGAAGGCGGCUUACUGGACUGUAACUGACGUUGAGGCUCGAAAGCGUGGGGAGCAAACAGGAUUAGAUACCCCAGUAGCG